GCAGUCGCCGCGGGAAUACGGAGGGUGCAAGCGUUAUCCGGAUUUAUUGGGUUUAAAGGGUCCGUAGGCGGAUCUGUAAGUCAGUGGUGAAAUCUUACAGCUUAACUGUGAAACUGCCAUUGAUACUGCAGGUCUUGAGUAAAUUUGAAGUGGCUGGAAUAAGUAGUGUAGCGGUGAAAUGCAUAGAUAUUACUUAGAACACCAAUUGCGAAGGCAGGUCACUAAGAUUUAACUGACGCUGAUGGACGAAAGCGUGGGGAGCGAACAGGAUUAGAUACCCGAGUAGUCCCUGUCUCUUAUAC
rnacentral:rRNA from 1 species